rnacentral:tRNA from 1 species
GGGGAUGUAGCUUAGUGGUAAAGCACUUGCCUAAUAUCCUUGAGGCCCUGGGUUCAAUCUCUAGCACCACCA